UCAAAAAAGUGAAACUCACUUUUAAUACUUUUAUUUUUCUUAAACAUCAGACUAGAGGUUUUCAGAAAACAAAAAACUGCUCUACCAGACAGGUUUUUGUCUUGAUUUUCUGUGUUUUAGUUUUCUAAAAACUGAAAACCAAAACCUGCUGUGAUACUGAACACGGCCUAGAUUUUUGUAGUUGUUUUUUUGGUAACAUAGAUUUCUGUAGUUUUAAUCAAGGUUUUCAUGUUUCAGUUUAUCCAAGUUUUUAAAAUAUAUAAAUAGUUUCAUAUGACUGAUUGUUUUAAAAACAUGAACAUGAAUUCUAUAAAAUCUGCUUAGUGGUGGCAGUGGUGGUGGUAGCGGCAAUAGUUGUACUGGCAGCGACAGGUGGGGAUGGGGUAAAUUAAAAUCUGCCUCACCUUUCAAAAAGGUUAGUCACUUUUAAUGGCUUUUAUUUUUCCUAAAAUUCAGAAUAUAUUUUUUUAGAAUAAAAUAUUCUACCAAAGAGGUUUUUUAAUCUCAGCUUUCAUGUUUUAGUUUUUAAAAACUGAAGAUCUUGUGUAGUUUUUU
rnacentral:lncRNA from 1 species